rnacentral:tRNA from 1 species
CGUCCGUUGGUCAAGGGGUUAAGACACCGCCUUUUCACGGCGGUAACACGGGUUCGAAUCCCGUACGGACUA